CAGCAGAAUUUAAAGGAUGACCAUAGGAUUUCCCUGCCUCUUUACCUUCUCCCUAUAGAAGAAAAUGCAUGAAAAGACCAGAUGUAUUAAUAGCAAAGAUACCUAAAGGAAGAAACUGAAACCAGGAGGAUAAAUAAAGCAGCAAAACUAAACACUUUCAGCUAACAAGGCUGUUGUCAGCUGGGAAAAGAAAGGGUCCAGAUGAAGAAGGAAUCCUUACAAUGAGGUCUGUGUUCAGCAGACAUAUUUGCAUUCUUCAUCUUUGCUUCUUGGUUUUCCAUCCAGCUGCUGCUCUGUGGUAUGUGAUAUAAAAAGAGUGAAGAUUUUAAAUUGGUCCUACCUUUUGCAAGCAAUGCAGCUAUUUUCUGUUUGUUCAGAUAAGACGUUAUAGCAGACAAUUAGCUCUGAAUUUCUAAAGUGUCUUGUUUUUCAAUCUUAU
rnacentral:lncRNA from 1 species